rnacentral:rRNA from 1 species
UACGUAGGGUGCAGGCGUUGUCCGGAAUUAUUGGGCGUAAAGAGCUCGUAGGCGGUCUGUCGCGUCGGCUGUGAAAUCCCGGAGCUCAACUCCGGGCCUGCAGUCGAUACGGGCAGACUGGAGUUCGGCAGGGGAGACUGGAAUUCCUGGUGUAGCGGUGAAAUGCGCAGAUAUCAGGAGGAACACCGGUGGCGAAGGCGGGUCUCUGGGCCGAUACUGACGCUGAGGAGCGAAAGCGUGGGGAGCGAACAGG